UCGCAAGUGCUGAAUUACAAUGCAUAUGCAAAGCAUCUAUUUUGAACUCCUUCAUGAGGUAUGGGCUUUUGCUCUGCCCCUUGGAUAAUGACACACCCCUGCCCAUACACAACAAGACCUAGAAAACAUCCAGGCCUGAUCAAUGCCUUUUUAAACUGAAUCAAACUUCAGCAACAGACUUGGGAGGAACAUAACAUUUGAAGCCAGAAGAGAGAAUUCAACAAGAAGACACAAAGCAAAAUCUCUGAUUUUUUUUUUAAAACGACAGCACAACAUUUAAAAUGUAUAAUAAAAAUCUCUUUUGAAAUAGUG